rnacentral:rRNA from 1 species
CUUAAGGAAUUGACGGGGCCGGCACAAGCGGAGGAACUACGUGGUUUAAUUCGAUGAUACGCGAGGAACUUACCUGGGCUUAAAUGUAGAGUGCAUGAGGUAGAAAUACUCUUUUCUUUCGGAACUCUCUGCAAGGUGCUGCAUGGUUGUCGUCAGCUCGUGCCGUGAGGUGUCGGGUUAAGUCCCAUAACGAGCGCAACCCUUAUCAUUAGUUGCUACGCAAGGGCACUCUAAUGAGACUGCCGGUGACAAACCGGAGGAAGUGGGGAUGACGUCAAGUCCUCAUGGCCCUUAUGGGUAGGGCUUCACACGUCAUACAAUGGUCGGUACAGAGGGUUGCCAAGCCGCGAGGCGGAGCCAAUCCCACAAAGCCGAUCGUAGUCCGGAUUGUUCUCUGCAACUCGAGAGCAUGAAGUCGGAAUCGCUAGUAAUCGCAGGUCAGCAUACUGCGGUGAAUACGUUCCCGGGUCUU